GAUGAACGCUAGCUACAGGCUUAACACAUGCAAGUCGAGGGGAAACGGCAUUAAGUGCUUGCACUUUUUGGACGUCGACCGGCGCACGGGUGAGUAACGCGUAUCCAACCUUCCCAUGACUAAGGGAUAACCUGCCGAAAGGCAGACUAAUACCUUAUGGUCUUCACUGACGGCAUCAGAUGUGAAGUAAAGAUUUAUCGGUUAUGGAUGGGGAUGCGUCUGAUUAGCUUGUUGGCGGGGUAACGGCCCACCAAGGCAACGAUCAGUAGGGGUUCUGAGAGGAAGGUCCCCCACAUUGGAACUGAGACACGGUCCAAACUCCUACGGGAGGCAGCAGUGAGGAAUAUUGGUCAAUGGGCGAGAGCCUGAACCAGCCAAGUAGCGUGCAGGAUGACGGCCCUAUGGGUUGUAAACUGCUUUUGUAUGGGGAUAAAGUCAAUCACGUGUGAUUGUUUGCAGGUACCAUACGAAUAAGAACCGGCUAAUUCCGUGCCAGCAGCCGCGGUAAUACGGAAGGUCCGGGCGUUAUCCGGAUUUAUUGGGUUUAAAGGGAGCGUAGGCUGGAGAUUAAGUGUGUUGUGAAAUGUAGACGCUCAACGUCUGACUUGCAGCGCAUACUGGUUUCCUUGAGUACGCACAACGUUGGCGGAAUUCGUCGUGUAGCGGUGAAAUGCUUAGAUAUGACGAAGAACUCCGAUUGCGAAGGCAGCUGACGGGAGCGCAACUGACGCUGAAGCUCGAGGGUGCGGGUAUCGAACAGG
rnacentral:rRNA from 1 species